GAUCCUUUAGUGGCGCAGCCAACGCGAUAAGUUGACCGCCUGGGGAGUACGGCCGCAAGGUUAAAACUCAAAUGAAUUGACGGGGGCCCGCACAAGCGGUGGAGCAUGUGGUGUAAUUCGAAGCAACGCGAAGAACCUUACCUACUCUUGACAUCCAGAGAACAUUCCAGAGAUGGGAUGGUGCCUUCGGGAACUCUGAGACAGGUGCUGCAUGGCUGUCGUCAGCUCGUGUUGUGAAAUGUUGGGUUAAGUCCCGUAACGAGCGCAACCCUUAUCCUUAUUUGCCAGCGAGUGAAGUCGGGAACUCUAAGGAGACUGCCGGUGACAAACCGGAGGAAGGUGGGGAUGACGUCAAGUCAUCAUGGCCCUUACGAGUAGGGCUACACACGUGCUACAAUGGCCGGUACAGAGGGCCGCGAACCCGCGAGGGAGAGCCAAUCUCAGAAAACCGGUCGUAGUCCGGAUCGCAGUCUGCAACUCGACUGCGUGAAGUCGGAAUCGCUAGUAAUCGCGAAUCAGAAUGUCGCGGUGAAUACGUUCCCGGGCCUUGUACACACCGCCCGUCACACCAUGGGAGUGGGUUGCACCAGAAGUGGCUAGUCUAACCUUCGGGGGGGCGGUCACCACGGUGUGAUUCAUGACUGGGGUG
rnacentral:rRNA from 1 species